rnacentral:rRNA from 1 species
AUGUCGCCCUUGCCGGGUGCGGUGAUGAGCACCUUCUUGGCGCCGGCCUCGAGAUGCUUGCCCGCGCCGGCGCGGUCGACGAAGACGCCGGUGCCCUCGAUGACGAGGUCGAUGCCCAUCUCACCCCACGGCAGGUUGGAGGGGUUGCGGUCGGACACCACCUUGAUCACCUUGCCGUCGACGGAGAUGGCGUUGUCGCCCACGGGCUUGACGUCCGCGUCGAAGAUGCCGAGCGUGGAGUCGUACUUGAGGAGGUGGGACGCCUGCUUCACGCCUCCGGUGUCGUUGAUGGCGAUGACCUCCAGCGGCGAGCUGUCGCCGCGCCCGUGCCAGCACCGCAGGAAGUUGCGCCCGAUGCGCCCGAACCCGUUGAUCGCCACCUUGAGCUUGGCCUCCGUCGGCGCCUUCCGCGACCCGCCGCUGGUGCUCACCUGCAAGCACAGCACCGCCGCGUCACACACACGCUCCCAUGGCAUGCGACCAAGCAAGCAACUACAUUCCACCGAUCAUGUCAUACCGCGUAUGUCCUGA